AGUUGCGAAGGCGGCUCUCUGGACUGUAACUGACGCUGAGGCACGAAAGCGUGGGGAGCAAACAGGAUUAGAUACCCUGGUAGUCCACGCUGUAAACGAUGAGUACUAGGUGUCGGGGGUUACCCCCCUCGGUGCCGCAGCUAACGCAUUAAGUACUCCGCCUGGGAAGUACGCUCGCAAGAGUGAAACGCAAAGGAAUUGACGGGGACCCGCACAAGUAGCGGAGCAUGUGGUUUAAUUCGAAGCAACGCGAAGAACCUUACCUAAGCUGGACAUCCCAAUGACAUCUCCUUAAUCGGAGAGUUCCCUGCGGGGACAUUGGUGACAGGUGGUGCAUGGUUGUCGUCAGCUCGUGUCGUGAGAUGUUGGGUUAAGUCCCGCAACGAGCGCAACCCUUG
rnacentral:rRNA from 1 species